rnacentral:rRNA from 1 species
CGCGUAGGCGGUUUGUUAAGUCGGAUGUGAAAGCCCCGGGCUCAACCUGGGAACUGCAUUCGAUACUGGCAGGCUAGAGUAUGGUAGAGGGAAGUGGAAUUCCGGGUGUAGCGGUGAAAUGCGUAGAUAUCCGGAGGAACAUCAGUGGCGAAGGCGGCUUCCUGGACCAAUACUGACGCUGAGGUGCGAAAGCGCGGGGAGCAAACA